AUGCCUCAGGAGCGGCCCAAGAAAUGGCAAAAAGACAUUAAAAAAAAAUACAUAUAUAUAUAUAUAUAAACUCAGACCUGAAGAGAGAGUCCAGGUGUGGUCUGAGUGUGGGGUACACUGAAACCAUCAUUUGCCUUAUCGGGGUGCUGUGCUCUUAUCAAUGUGUUCUAACUUUGGCAGCAGCCACAUACUUAAACUUCAGAUCACCUGGGAAGCUUAGUGAAAAACCAUUGGUCUUUGGGUGAGGAAAAAAAUGUGAAUUCUAGUCUCUUGGAGAGGGAGACAAUAUUUACUCAGGGUCAUUGUGCUCCAGGCACUUAUCGGAGUGUUUUGGUGACAUGACUUUAUUUAAUUUUAACUGCAACUCCCUGAGGUCAGCAUUCUCGCCACCACUUUGCCAGCGGGGAGGCAAAGGCUUGGAGAUGUGAAAUGACUUAUCCAAGAUCACACAACUAGUUAAGUGGAAGAGCCAGGAUUCCAACUCAGGCCUGAGAUGGCAUAUGUGGAAUUUGUUUCACAAUAACACAAGCUUGGGGAAUAGAGUGAGGAUGGGACAGAACUGUCCAUGGAUUACAUUGCCGGGGCUAGUGAAGGGCAUUCUAUUUUUCCGCCUAUUUUUAGGAAUGUUAAGAAUCUCCACAUGAACAUCUCAGGUCAGAUCAGAAGUGCGAGCUCUCUGCAGCUUUGAACACACACUUUUGCGUGGUUCGGCUCUGGAGGGGAGAACCUAGCUUCUUCUGUUUGUAAGAGGCUGUGUCAGAAGACCCAUCAGGGAGGCUGGCAUGUACAGUAGAGAGCAGGCUAUUCUAUUUUAGCUUCUGGUCUCACAUGUGAGUUUGAAAUUUGAACUAGAAAAUGAUUAGGACUGAAAGUAAGAAAACAUUUUCUUUUACAUUUUGGGCAGAGCCUUCCGGGGUUGUUUUCGGCAAAGCGGAGGAGCGAGGGAGACCCUGGGAAGGGAACCAACUACCACCUGUUAGGAUGGCUUAACCAUGCCCUUGACCAUUUUACGCCUGUGUUCUACGAACGAAUACGAAACAUAAUGUGGCGAUUCCUCAUGCAAAGCUGUAUGAGAUGACGGAUAUUCACUAAACUCUGUCAUCAUCAUUUCAUGAUGCAUGUAAGUCAAAUCACUAUGCUGCACACCUUAAACUUACACAGUAUUGUGUCAGUAUCUCCACAGAACCGGAGGAACAAAAAAGCACACGUCUUUGGUAUUUAGAAGGCCUUAUGAAUAAACGCAGAGGCUUGGAGGUGGGGGGUUAGUUAUAAAGGAGAAAGACGCACAAGGAAGGAGGUAGCAGGGCACCUCGAAGGUUUUCACAGAUUCCAGUGGGGGUGGCACUUCCCAGACUCUCCACCACCCACCCCACCUUGUAGAGGACAGACCUACCAACACGGACACUACUGUAACAUGCCAUGGCAGAUUCAAGGCAGAGUUCUCCAGGCAGACGGGAACACACUACUGACAGGGCAUCAGGGGACCCUCUCCCGGGUAGCAGUCUGGAUGAGAUGGUCUUAGAGGUCUCCGUCUACCUGGACAUCCCACAUCUAAAUCCUCUUCAUCCUCCUCAUCAGCUUGCACCUUCCAACCGGGGGCUCAUUUUACCAGAGCUCACUCUACCAACUGUGUAGAUGCUGAUUAAGUUUGGAUCCUCCUGUUUUUAACUCUUCUCCAUUGUAGAACACAUGCACAGAUACGUGAGGACAUUCUGUCUACAAGUUUAUUAGACAUUGUUAAUUUAUUACAAUAGAAGAUCUGGACAAAGUAAAAACAGUUAAAUUUUUCAUUUGCCAGGGCUUUGCUAGCAGCUUUCAUUUCUCUUAAAAUUCCCCAAAUGUUCUUUCUCAAAUCCCAUUACCUUGAGUGGUCACUUGAAAAA